rnacentral:rRNA from 1 species
UCCGAAGGGGGCUAGCGUUGUUCGGAAUUACUGGGCGUAAAGCGCACGUAGGCGGAUACUUAAGUUAGGGGUGAAAUCCCAGAGCUCAACUCUGGAACUGCCUUUAAUACUGGGUAUCUCGAGUCCGGAAGAGGUGAGUGGAAUUCCGAGUGUAGAGGUGAAAUUCGUAGAUAUUCGGAGGAACACCAGUGGCGAAGGCGGCUCACUGGUCCGGUACUGACGCUGAGGUGCGAAAGCGUGGGGAGCAAACAGG